AUCGGGUCUGGUAUCCAGCUUCAUCAUAAUUACGUGCGCUCUCGAUCGAAAACAUGUACAUUCGCAGCGCUAGCGCGGCAUGGCAUGUUCGAAAGCGUCGCUCGUGAGGCAGAGAAUAACUGGGGACUGAUAGCCUGGAUGAGUCUGGGAUCUCUAACAAGCUGUUUGAUGAGCUGACACCUCAAUGAUCUUCCGUUUCAAGUUCAUCGAGGACUUCCACCUCCUGGACAGCCUCAAUGUACAAGGACAUUUAGAAAAUACAUGUACAUUGCAUCCGCAGAAGGUGAUGCCGAACAACCCAGCUGGACUAGUCAACUUUCAGGUCUACUCCAGGAAGGCUGAGGUCAGUAAGGUCAGCAAGGCUGAUCGGCACAAGAACUGGGUCCACAACAAGAACUCCAAGAACCUGCCGCUCAACAUGUGGGAAACAGCAGCUCAAGUCUGGUAGGCCUGAAGCAUGCUCUGGAAAUCUUCAACUACUGUUCCCUGUUUCUCUUCAUGGUGGAGAUCAUCUUAAAGUGGAUGGAUGACUUCAUCUCCUUCUGGAAGAAUGGCUAGAAUAUCUUUAAUUUUUUGGUGACAGCUGGGGUGAGAAGCUUCAUAAAAAUUAUAGAUGUGACAAUCCAUGAGUUUAAGAAAAAAGUGACAAAAGUUUGGGUAAGAAGUGGCAAAGAGCAUUCUGCUUACAUGAGAAUAAAAGCUUCCAUCAUCUUUUUGAUUAGAAGAAAAAAAUGCAAAAUGGCUGAUUCAGUUAUCACAUCUUCAUAGACUCGUGCAUUUAUUUGCCGCAUUUAUCCUGAGGUAAAAAUUUGUCACAUCCUGUUUGUGUGCAUAGUCGAAAAUGCUAGAUUGGUGUUAUGAUUCAGUGAUUCUGUACAGGUCUGUAAAGUUUCACCCUACUUUGAUGCAGUUAAAAAGUAUAGUUUUUAAUUCAGGGCUGCUUUUUUUCUCAAAUUCAGAAUAAUGUAGGUUCCAGUACCUCAAAGCCAUUCAAAAUCUAAAAAGAAAUUUUGUGAAUUUUAGUACAUGUAAAUUGCACAUCAGAGACUUGUUCAUAUUUGGAAAGCUUCAAAUUCAGGUUUUGUUUUGUAUUAGUAAUAAAUUAUGAAAAUUUUUAACAAGUGACUUUUUGUCUACAGUCAUUUGUCCCCGAGAUUAUCGUGCUCACUGUGGGCGACGUGAAGGAGCUUCGAGUCAUUGUGAGGAAUCUCUGAGUCUUCUGCAUCCUGCGUUCACUCAAGAUGGUGUCUUGCUUCCAGCAAUCUGGCUUUAAAAAAUUGAGCAAGCUAAUGAGCAUCAGGAUGGCCUUUAGUUCAGCGCUGCCUUCACCUUCUUGGUGUUUUAAUUCUUGGGAAACCUUCAGAUGUAAGAAUAUCAUGUUUUUUUUCUCAGGAACGUAGAAAAUCAACGAAUUUCACUGCUCCAAAAAGCCAAUGCUGUAUAAAAUGACUGAAUAACCAAAGAAUUACAUGUACAUCAGACAUCUCGUUUCCAUCAUAAAAUUGUGCUGGUGUCCAGUGUUGGGCCCUUAACAAUAAUAAGCAAAACCAAGUGGAGAAAGUGAACAUACCUGAUAGACUAUGGGGGUGGGUUAGGUCACUUUCAUGUGCAGACUAACUUAAUGCGAUGAUAAGCAAGCAGAAUAAAGCAUAUUUAAUUGACCAAUCAUGGUAGAAUCGCAUCAAAUUGUCCAAUGUCCCAUAGAAAAUGGAUUUGGGACACAAAGUCUCAGAAAAACAAAACUCAGUACCAGUGUUAAUUGUAUUCAAGUCCAACACAAGUCAUUCAGUCUUUAUAAGCCAAUUCACAAGCUAUUCAAAUGAGCUGUAACAAGCAUUCUUAAAAUUAUUAUUUUUCACCCUGUUACUUAUGACUGGCCUUGUGAAGAACUUGUAAAAGGACUGUGAUGGACUCAAUUACAACAUUGCUCAAUACUCCACCAGGAUAUCCAAGGGGCACAUGAUUGGUCAGUUUGGUUGGAUGUGUGGCAAGAUUUCCACAUAUGCCCUGUUUGAAAUCUUCAGCCAGUGCAUCACAAUUUUUCACACAAAAUAAAUUUUUGUACACAUCAUUUUGCUAGGCAUGAGCAUCUGGAAAUAUCAAACCUGAUAAAUGUUAUACAGUGGAUUAUAAAUUACAUAUUUAAACUUCCCGGGAUGUGAUCAACCUGCGGCUGUUUGAAAAUAAUGUGGAGGCCUGAAGGUGUGAAUACAUGUAAAAUAUUUAUUCCCAUACAAAAAUUCCGGAAGAUUCUGGUUACAUCUAUUUUUGUAGUUUAUUUUUGUGUACAUUAAAUAUAUUCAUGGUUACAUAUACAUCCCCAUGUGCAUGAUUGACCCGGCUGUUGGUCAAGUCAAAAGUUCUGCCCAUUGACUCAGUGGCUCAGGCCUGACCUAGGGUUUGCUAACUGAACCGUCACUAUAAGGAUGAAGUGAUGAAUCAGCACAUACACGUGGCCAAUGAAUCUCGAUAGUGAUUUGCACUUUGAUGAAAUUUGUACUUUUAAAUUAAUUAGUGACCUUCCAUUUCUCUCCCUGCCUCCGCCACUAGGUGAUUAUCAUACUACUGCUUCUCUUAUUCGCUUACAGCUUCAGGUAAUGAGGAUCACUAAGUACAAUAUACGGCUCUAAAGUACUAGUUUAUAUACUCCAGGGCGGUCAAAACAUGUUCAAUUUUUAGAAUUUAUAAUGCAGAUAUCUCGUUUAAUCACUUCAUACCAGAUGAUGUCGCAACGCACUCCGGGAAAUCUGUAUAUGGUGCUGCUUGAUAUCUAUUCUUGUCCACAGGCUUGACUGAUUGCCAUUGAAUUCAUGCCGGUGCACACAGGCUCAAAAUAGUUUGUGGACGUUAAAUGCGUGUGCUGCCCUCAAGCAGUCUUGGGCCAAGGCCAGUCCCGGUGGUAAAUAUCACUCUGCGACAUAGUCACAGAGUUUUGAAAAAGCAACACUGUAAGAAUAUCAAACAAAUCUUGAACAAAUGACCACCAUGGGUAAGCAUUUUAAUUAGCCCAACUUUGUAAAGAAUUGUGUAGUAGUGUGUGUAGUUAUAGUAUUUUGUCAUAGUACAAAAUUAGUUUUUUUCAGUCGGAAAUGAUACUGUGUUUAAGACAAGUGCGAUUCGGAAAAAUACUCUCAGCAGGUGGAUAAGAAAUCAACCAUUGGCCGUGCAGUUCAGUUUUAUUCUCUGAUUUUACUUUCUUGCCCAUUUUGAUCAUCCCGUGGCUGGUACCCUACAGCACUUUUACCCAUGCACUGAUCACCCUGUUCUAGCUCCUUACUUUGGACCAGUGGUACAUGUACAUGUACAAGAUCCUGAUGGGCAUGGGGAAGGUUGCCAAUUGCUUCUUCACCACCUUUUACCUCAUGUUUUGGAUCUGCAUCGGUUCUUUAAUCUUCCGCAACAAAUUUGUUGCGAUCAUGGGUGAAGGAUCAGUCUUCCGAUUUGACGUUACACAGUCUAUAGAGAGUUAUGUAGGGUUAUUUGUGUGGUAUAUAACGCAAAUUGUGUGCCAGCCAGGGCUGUCACACACAGUGCAAUGGGCCUCAAGCUGAACAGAGAGAGAGGGUGUUGUUUUCAAUAGGCUCCUCUUGUCAGAAUUGAACUUCGCUGGUUCACAAAUGACUAGGAAAUACAUUAUUUUUGAUUGCAUCACUGCCUACAAAAUGAACACUACCAUGGACAACAUGGUUCAGAUCUUUUCAACCGAUGAGGUACUGCUUAAGUGACCAGAGGUUGCCAAAAAUAGAUUCUGCAUCAAUGUAUGCACUGCAAGGGAGGCACAGCCUUAGAAAUCUACGUGUAUGUGUAGUCCUAUGACUCAGAGAUGUUGAGAGUGCUGAACAUGCACUGUUACCACUGCACAUCAUACCCACAAAGCUAAGCUUCCUUUGUGAUAGGGACAUAAUAUUUAAGCAGUUGAUACAUACUUUUAGCGUCCUGUUCAUAACUAUUGUAGCUGCUUCCAUAUUUUACGACAAUGUUGGACGAAUUCCGAUGUUUGAGAGGGUGGCCUAAUAUAACUUUCUCCAGCCAACUUUCACAGCAUACAAGAAAAACGGUAAACCUCAGUGGUUUUAUCCUCAAUGUGUUUUUCUGGGUACAUAAUCAGUGAGCCAGUUCGGUAUUUCAGAAGGGAAGGUGCGAGCGUGAGUCGGCUUUUGGCUGAGCUGAUAGGGCAAGCAAGCGCGCUCUUGCGCUCCGCUAUUCCCAAAUGACCUCGGAAGCAACUUCGUUCCCAUGGGUACGAUCUUGCAGCUUCAUGUUGGUUCCCACCAUGCCUUGCGCGAUCAAGUGAAGGAACGCGCACGGAGCCCAUGGAGUCUAGGUUGCCUCGGGAGCGCUUCAGUUUGGGCAAGCGCUGUCGGAAUUUCGAAUUGACUCGAAACUUAUUUCUCUUUCUUAUUCAUCAGCUGUAAACGGUCUGUGCAAUGCGAUGUUGAAAAUUAAAUCCUAGAAAAUGCACCUUUAUUUACCCUUACCUGUACUUAAACUUGUACUAUUUGUAAACUAGAUCCAAGCAGUCUCCUGACGAUGGACAGAGCAUACUGUCCCAAACGUUAAGUAUACCAACGGUUCUUUUCAAAACCCCACAUACUCACAAAUACGGAGCCCCUAAGGGGACAGGCACAAUGAGAAUUUUUUUUAAAAUUGUUCCUUCGAAUGAUAUUUCGUUUUCUCGAAAUAUCAUUUCAUUUGCUCGAAAUAUUGAUUUAAUGACGUCGAAAUAUUUUUGUGUAAUUUUAAUUUUCAUGUAAAAAAGUGUGGUUUCAUCCCAUACCAAGUAAGACAUCUUAAUUUUGUACUUGCACCGCUAACAUUGGUCAGAUCUUUAUAAUAUUUUGCAGCCUUUAAUUGUAUUUUCUUUGAUUAUUGGUAGUUCUAAUUCACGAAAGUAGGACCGUAUACAAAAGCCUUCUCAAAAAUCGUUUUCACUAAGCUAAUGCUUGGUUACAUAUAAAAUGUUAGCAGAAAACGCCUCAUGUUAAUUGAACGAAUAGUUUUCACCUGGGGCAACAUAACAAUGAUAGCCGUAUCGUUAUUCAUUUCUCAGGAAAAUCAUGGAAGCGACACAUUUGUUUUCAAUACUGUUUUGAAAACAAAAGAUGCAAAAUAGGUUUCACACAUUUUAGA